GACGAACGCUGGCGGCGUGCCUAAUACAUGCAAGUAGAACGCUGAAGGAGGAGCUUGCUCUUCUGGAUGAGUUGCGAACGGGUGAGUAACGCGUAGGUAACCUGCCUGGUAGCGGGGGAUAACUAUUGGAAACGCUAGCUCAUACCGCAUAAGAUUAUAUGUUUCAUGUCAUUUGCUUAAAAGGUGCAAUUGCAUCACUACCAGAUGGACCUGCGUUGUAUUAGUUAGUUGGUGGGGUAACGGCUCACCAAGGCGACGAUCCAUAGCCGCCCUGAGAUGGGGAGAGGCCACAAUGGGACUGAGACACGGCCCAGACUCCUACGGGAGGCAGCAGUAGGGAAUCUUCGGCAAUGGACGGAAGUCUGACCGAGCAAAGCCGCGUGAGUGAAGAAGGGUUUCGGAUCGGAAAGCUCUGUUGUAAGAGAAGAACGAGUGUGAGAGUGGAAAGUGCACAAUGUGACGGUAUCUUACCAGAAAGGGACGGCUAACUACGUG
rnacentral:rRNA from 1 species